AUAUUUAUGUUCUCCCAUGGCAACACAGAACUGCUGGUCAUGAAACAUUCUGAAAAUGCCCAGCCUUUAAAAUGGCUGUAAACGCCACGUCGGACAACUUUCAGCACCAUUUUCCAGAAUGUUCAAAGGAAUGAAGCAGCAAAUCACCAACAAUAACAGAAAAAUCAAUACCCGCCUCUGCUUCUUUUGUGAGAUCUGGAACACGGCCUCAAUCUGUCAGACUGAAUUACAGGGGCUGUGGGAGUCAGCGAGGGCUCAAGCAAGCCGACGUGCCAUGCUGCUCAUUGAUAAAAGGCUGAGGUCUGUACGAGUGCCACCAGUGCUGCUGCCUCCAGGAGGUGUGGAGGGACCACUGACCUUUCAGACGAAAGGCGGGUCGUGGAGCAGUGGAUGUGCUUGCUUGCACUUUGCAUGUAAGAUUGCACUAAUCUCUGGAAUAGAAAGAGUAAACAGUUUGACAAAUACAAGGCUCUGGGGCAUUACCUUGCUAAUGGAUAUUAAAUCAGAUGGCUGUAUUUGGAUGGAAGGUGAUAUAUCAACACAGGAAUGUCAUCCUAAAAUAGGCCAUUGAUCCACUAGCUGAGAAUCUAGUCUUUGACAAAGGUCAAUGCAUCAGAGAGAGGAACAACCUCUUCCAAACUCAUCAUUUUCCAAGGCAACAGUAAAAGGCUGUAUCAGUAUAAAGAAGAAAGCUUCUUCUUGACUCCAGAUGGUAAUUAGUUUAUACCCUGGAGCAUGAAGAGUAAAAUCCCUUAUCACUUUUAAUUUUGCCAGUGGACCAUAGGUUACUGCAAUGAGCUUUUGAAUCUUUGAGUAAUAUACCCUGUGAUUUUUUUUUGGCUCACAGAAAGGAGCUGGUGCAGAAGUCUAGCAUGGUCUUUGUGUUGUGCCACUGGUCUUUCUGCAAAGAGGCCAGGCAGGACAGCUGCUUAUGCCAGUGGAGGAAGAGGGUUGUGACCAGCAGUGUUGUCAGGGGAGGCUCCAGAGAAAGUAAAAGUCACCAUUGGGAAUUCAUAGACACAGAAACAAGUUUACAGGAGGAUCUGAACAUAACUUUAUCAUUGGAAAAUGAGAGAGGAUGGGGCCACCUUUGGUUUUCCUGGUUAAACAUGCUUGACACCAUGCAAUAGAGUGUAGUGUGGUUCCCUGGGUAAUAAAGCUGCACUGAUGAGUUUGUGCGGCA
rnacentral:lncRNA from 1 species